rnacentral:rRNA from 1 species
UGGUAUUUUGACUAUACAAAGGUAUUGAAAUAAGGUUUUAAUUGAAUGCUAAAAGAAUGGAAUAUCAAAGAAUAACUUUCUUAAAAUUAAAAAUUGAAAUUUUUUUAAUUUGUGUAAAAACAAUUAUAAAAAUUAAAGACAAGAAGACCCUAAGAAUUUUUAAAAUUUAAAUUAAUACAUUUUUGUUUUAAUUAAAUUUUAACUGGGGCGGUUAAAAAAUAUUAAAAACUUUUUAAUUUUGAAAAUGGUCCAUUAUUAAUGAAAAUAUGAUAAAAUACUCUAGGGAUAACAGCGUAAUAA